GAGCUCGUAUGCAAAAGUUACGGACGAAGCUUAGAGACUACUUUACUAUAAAACUCCUAUAAAUACAAGGGUGAACUCCUCAUAUUUUCUUCACACCAUAAGCCUUUCUUUCUCUCUCUAACUUCUCUCUAGCCUCCCUAAACCCCUCCCAAGUCUAGGGAACCUCCCUAUCACGAGAAGAAAGCCCCGGAGCGCCCGACGGCUCCGAGAAGAAAAGCUUUCGGCUCGGAAACGCUGCUCCAGCGAAGUCCGGUUUUUAAUAAAAACCCAUUGUUUGGUCAAGGAAAAAUUGUUUUAAGAAGUAACGAAGAGCUGUCCGAGUGCCGAGUCACCACCUUACCAGGUAGUGGCGCAUGAGCAUAGGUGUGAUGUUUUGGACGAGGGAUUACGGAUAUAGGCCUGUAGAUAUGAAAUAAUGUAGUAAGGCUUAUAUUGUAUUGUUUAUGCUUUU